rnacentral:rRNA from 1 species
UGGGGAAUAUUGCACAAUGGAGGGAACUCUGAUGCAGCGACGCCGCGUGAACGAAGAAGGCUUUCGAGUCGUAAAGUUCUUUUACAUGGGAAGAUAAUGACGGUACCAUAAGAAAAAGCCCCGGCUAACUACGUGCCAGCAGCCGCGGUAAUACGUAGGGGGCUAGCGUUGUCCGGAAUCACUGGGCGUAAAGGGUUCGCAGGCGGAAAUGCAAGUCAGGUGUAAAAGGCAGUAGCUUAACUACUGUAAGCAUUUGAAACUGCAUAUCUUGCGAAGAGUAGAGGUAAGUGGAAUUUUUAGGGUAGCGGUGAAAUGCGUAGAUAUUAAAAAGAAUACCGGUGGCGAAGGCGACUUACUGGGCUCAUUCUGACGCUGAGGAACGAAAGCGUGGGUAGCAAACAGG